UGGGGAAUAUUGGACAAUGGGCGAAAGCCUGAUCCAGCCAUGCCGCGUGUGUGAAGAAGGUCUUCGGAUUGUAAAGCACUUUAAGUUGGGAGGAAGGGCAGUAAGCGAAUACCUUGCUGUUUUGACGUUACCGACAGAAUAAGCACCGGCUAACUCUGUGCCAGCAGCCGCGGUAAUACAGAGGGUGCAAGCGUUAAUCGGAAUUACUGGGCGUAAAGCGCGCGUAGGUGGUUCGUUAAGUUGAAUGUGAAAGCCCCGGGCUCAACCUGGGAACUGCGUCCAAAACUGGCGAGCUAGAGUAGGGCAGAGGGUGGUGGAAUUUCCUGUGUAGCGGUGAAAUGCGUAGAUAUAGGAAGGAACACAAGUGGCGAAGGCGACCACCUGGGCUCAUACUGACACUGAGGUGCGAAAGCGUGGGGAGCAAACAGG
rnacentral:rRNA from 1 species